rnacentral:rRNA from 1 species
UACAGAGGGGGCAAGCGUUAUUCGGAAUUAUUGGGCGUAAAGGGCGCGUAGGCGGCUUUGCAAGUGACGGGUGAAAUCCCUCGGCUUAACCGAGGAACUGCCUGUCAAACUGCAUGGCUUGAGACCGGGAGAGGUGAGUGGAAUUCCCAGUGUAGCGGUGAAAUGCGUAGAUAUUGGGAGGAACACCAGUGGCGAAGGCGGCUCACUGGACCGGUACUGACGCUGAUGCGCGAAAGCCAGGGGAGCGAACGGG